CUCUGGUGUCCCUUGAGCCAGGCUCUUACAUUGGCCAUGGUCCUCCCUGCAAACACGGGGCUCAGCGCCCUGGCUGUUUGAUCUCAACGGUUCUGAAAAGCACCUCCCUGCCUUUUCUAUUUGCUAGCUCGAGCCUGAAAUCCAACCACUGGCUUAAGGCAGCAUGGCAAACAGUUUUCUUAUCAAGGUCUCUGUGAGAAGAAUUGCAAUGCCUGGUCUGGGCUGAGCCAAAGAGUGGUGACCCUGCCAUGUCCUGCCAGGAGAGAGACCAGGCGUCUUGACCUUGGCGACCUCAGUGUCUAGUGGUCACUGCUUGCUGACCCACUCUGCGGAAGACAGCAGAACUACCUUCUUGGCUGUAUCAUUCUCUGUGGUGGGACAGGAUGAUUCUGUCCUAUCUACAAUUCUGUGCAUCGCAGCAUGUUUAGCAGCAUCCCUGGCUUCCAUCUGUUAGAUGCCAGUAGCACUUCCUCUUGAGCCUUCAUGACCAAAACUAUCUCCAAAUAUUGCCAAGUGACUUCUGGGGGGCAAAGUCACCACUGCUGAAAAGACUGGGUCAAGGCAUUGUCACCACUGAAAAUGCAAACACUCUGGAGAAGGACGACCCUCAACAGUUAUGCACUUCUGGGUGUUUGCCAGACCCUUUCCAAGAGCACUAGUCAGUUAAGAGCAGAGUGGGAAAGAAGAGACAAAGAAAGAGGAUUUAGAAGAAUCCAUUCCUGGCUGGGUGGAGUGACUCACGCACUUUGCACUUUGGGAGGCUGAGGUAGGCGAAUGACUUGAGGCCAGGAAUUCAAAAA